CCCAGACUCCUACGGGAGGCAGCAGUGGGGGAUAUUGCACAAUGGGGGAAACCCUGAUGCAGCGACGCCGCGUGUGGGAAGACGGUCUUCUGGAUUGUAAACCACUGUCCCCAGGGACGAAAAUGACGGUACCUGGGGAGGAAGCCCCGGCUAACUACGUGCCAGCAGCCGCGGUAAUACGUAGGGGGCGAGCGUUAUCCGGAUUCACUGGGUGUAAAGGGAGCGUAGACGGCCAUGCAAGCCAGGGGUGAAAGCCCGGGGCCCAACCCCGGGACUGCCCUUGGAACUGCAUGGCUGGAGUGCGGGAGGGGCAGGCGGAAUUCCUGGUGUAGCGGUGAAAUGCGUAGAUAUCAGGAGGAACACCGGCGGCGAAGGCGGCUUACUGGACUGUAACUGACGUUGAGGCUCGAAAGCGUGGGGAGCAAACAGGAUUAGAUACCCGUGUA
rnacentral:rRNA from 1 species